GUAACCAAAUUUGGGUUUAUUUUAUCCCCUGAAGUUGAUAUAUCUGCAAAAUUGCUAUGUAAGUGACUGUAGACUAUGUCAAGGAAUAUUAUAUAGUGCAUGGGGAAGUGAAACGGACUUUGGUAGAGUACAUUUUCGUCAACUAUUUUUGCCAAGGAUAAGUACCCCCCCACAAGAUGGCAGAUUUGCCAAAUGUUGAUCUGUUGACUGAGAUUGACGACUUAAGUAUGUAUGUCGACGGUAAGAGCGGAAGCAAAUUUGAAUUCUUUGAUAUUAAUGAAAGUGUAGCAUUGAAUUCUGGCAUCCCAAGCCAUGGUCUCAUGGAUGAUGCUAUGCUGGCUGUCGACUCCAGCAAUGCCCUUCUUGGGGAUCCUCUGCUCAACUUAUUUCAUCAGAAUGAGUUGUUUGAGCUUCAGUCGGCAGCCCCCAGUCACAACACUGAGACUCUCAUGCCAGUUUCCCUUCCAGCUGGCUCUCCAACGCAUCCGAGUGCAUCUGACUCUGACUGCCCUGUGUACGCCAUCACUACUGCAUCUCCAAGCUCCAACUCCAGUUCAGUCGUUGGGCCUGAUUCCUCAUCUUCGGCUUCACCAUGCCACCACUCUGUUGAAGGUGGCCCCGUUAUCGUCGGCUCUAGUGGUACUACUGCUAACACUCCUGUCUGUAUUGUUGUGAAAACCAGGACCCAUUCUAUUAGCAAAAUGGUGGCUCCUAUAACAAUACAGAAACCCUCACACAACUUGGUUAAAAUCCCCAAAGUUGAGUCUACGUUGCCAUCUGGGGUUCGUAUGCAGACCAUUCGCUCUGGAGACAAGCUUGGGCCAUCAGUUAUUGCAAGUAAAACUGCAGUAUUCAUCUCUCCAACAUCUGCCAAUCAACCUUUGGUACGAACCCAAGCUUUAUCUGCCUCUUCAGCUCCUGAUGCAGCAAUUUCAACAGAAGAAAUGCCAUUCAGGUCACUUCGUGUCAAACGCCUAUCUGGGACUUCAGACAGCAGUGAACCUUCGCCUUGUGGAUCAAAGCGUAAAGCAUAUGAACUUGAACCACAGGAAGACCCGCUGAUGGAAAGAUGUCGGCUAAAUGCAAUUAGUGCAAAGCGUAAUAGGGAAUUGAAAAAAGCUCGUAUGGCAGAUUUACAGCGAAAAGUGGAGGAUGUUAGUAGAGAGCGUGAUCAGCUGGCUGGGGAAAAUGAGAGUCUUAGGGAAGCAAAGUUAAAACUAGAACAGCAAGUAAAACAUCUCAAUAAUGUUCUCAAGAAUCAGUCGAAGUUGUCUUCACUCAUUGGGAAAUUGGGACCAUCUAGUGUGAUACUUGGUGACAUAUCAGCUAGUGGAAAUGAAGAUGAAGUUAUGACAAGUGCCAGCGGGAGGUGACUGGAACGGGCGGCAGCUGACUCACGGCACAGGUGGGAUGGGACCCCCUGAUCCUAUAUUGGGACAGGGGCCCGUCCUUACCACACCGUUGUAGCCCCCUACUAUCUGUCCCUCCUCUUUUGCUACUUCGCUGGCCACCAGUCGCUGCUCUCGUCUAAAAGUUAAGUAUGUCGGGUGAGUCCUUAAGCUUAGCCAUGAAGAUUUGCAAAAAAAGUACCUCUGAAAUUUAGAUUGCCAAUGGUUAAAAGUAUUCCCAAUUAUUAAAUUUUUUGUGUUUUGAUGUCAGUUCUCAGAUUUACCACAAUCUUUUGUCAGUAGGAAGUGGCUGGAUAUAAAAAUAUUUGUGCUUCAUACUGUGUAUGUAUGUAUAUAUUUAUAGUGUGUGUGUGUAUAAUUCAGAUUUUAUUACCAGUAUAUUGUUAUAAAUUUUUUCUUUUUAAUUAGGAAAAGUUUCCAAUCAUUGUACCAUAGCUUCUAUUACAGGAAGGAGAGGUAUGGUGGCUGUCUGCUACCCUUAUCUGUCUUUUAGACCUGUGGCAUCAGAAGUAGCCAAAAGUAUUUUCUACCUAUGACAUAAAUCAUAUAGCAAAUUGCAAACCAUAGUAGUGUGGAAAUAACAAAUUACCUUCCUGGCAUUCCGAUAAGAUGAAAUGUUAUUCCCACUCUUGUAUAUUGCAAUACAAUAUACAAUAUACUGUGUAUAUGAUUUGUGCCAUGGGCUGUGUUACUGGCUCUGCUAGGUAAUCAGAAUCAUAUGGGGCCCCAUUUCCUUUUGAGUUAGCUGACUUUUUAUUUUUUUAUUGGUAAUGUCCAAAAAUUAACAUUGAAAUUUGUUUGGGUUUUUUGUUUGACAGAAAAUGCUGCUCCUAGUAUUUACUGAGUGGCAGUUUGUCUUUGACAUACUGAACAAAUUAAAUAUUAUUCCCGCACUUCUGUGCUUUGCAAUUUGUGUAAUUUGUUUCAUGGGAACGGAAUACUAAUGGCUACUACUGGUGUUGUGGAAGGUUGAAGAAAAGAGUGUGUGUGUGUGAGUAGAAGGUAGCCACCAUUCUUCAUGUCAUGGGUAUAAUGAUUAUGGUGCUUGCCUGGUAUUUUCUGGGUCAUAGUUUUGCCUAAUAGGCAAAGAAAUUUUGCAUACAGUAUUUUCAAAUUAAUUUCCAAGUUUAUCCAUAACAAUAAAUAUAUACAGUACUGUACUGAGAAAAUGAAUUUUGAACUUAUGUAGGUUGGGAUUGAUUAGGUCAAGUGCCUAAGUUUUGACUAAAAGUAAUCAUGAUCAUAUAUAUUGUAAUGAAACCAAUUGAAUUCCAUAUGAGGAAAUGGUUGAACAAUUAAUUACUGUAUACAGUAUAGGAAAAUUGUGUUGUGUUAGGCAACUGCUUAUUUUAUUAUAUAUAUAUAUAUAUAUAUAUAUAUAUAUAUAUAUAUAUAUAUAUAUAUAUAUAUAUAUAUAUAUAUAUAUAUAUAUAUAUAUAUAUAUAUAUAUAUAUAUAUAUAUAGGGGAGACGUGUUCAAUGUAUUCGAUAACGUAUUCGAUAUAGAUAGGGGAGACGUAUUCGAUGUAUUCGAUAAAAAAUUAUAGAAUACAAUAUAUAUAUAUAUUGUAAUGAAAGAAUAUAAUGAAGAUUUAUGAAGUACUGUAUAAAAUUUUUUGUUUAUUACAUUAUAUUUGUAUAGAUAUACCAGUGGGUACAUUAGGAAUAAAAGGCUGGGUAUAAUAUGUAAUGGUUUUAAAUAGUUUAUCAAUUGCCUCCACCUGUGUAAAUUGGGUAUAAGGGUAUACUGAAUCACAAGAGGCUGCUUGUUAAAUGUAUUACUUGAAAAGUUUGUAUGUUCAUGAUUAUCCAAUAUGUAGUAAUAAUUAUUUGGUUAUGGUUCAACCAGUAAAUUUACUCAGUACAAAUACUAUUUAUUCUCAUUUUAGUAAUAAGGUACAAUAUUUGCAGGGAGAUACAAGUACUUUGCAAUCUACAUGGCUAAGUUGCACACCACAAAUGUUUGGAUGGUAAUCUUGACCGUACUAAAGAUUAUGUAUAAACACAUUUAUAUCACAUGCAUUGUACAAAUACUCAUUUUCAUCAAAAUAUUUUUAUAAAAUAAAUUAUAAUGUUGC
rnacentral:misc_RNA from 1 species